rnacentral:rRNA from 1 species
GACCCUACGGGGGCAGCAGUGGGGGAUAUUGCACAAUGGGGGAAACCCUGAUGCAGCGACGCCGCGUGGGUGAAGAAGCGCCUCGGCGCGUAAAGCCCUGUCAGCAGGGAAGAAAAUGACGGUACCUGAAGAAGAAGCCCCGGCUAACUACGUGCCAGCAGCCGCGGUAAUACGUAGGGGGCAAGCGUUAUCCGGAUUUACUGGGUGUAAAGGGGGCGCAGACGGCGAUGCAAGCCAGGAGUGAAAGCCCGGGGCCCAACCCCGGGACUGCUCUUGGAACUGCGUGGUUAGAGUGCAGGAGGGGG